rnacentral:lncRNA from 1 species
GGUGCAAGAAAGUAAUCAACCGUAGGCCCUCUAAUAGCCCUAUACGGUUGAACCUAGAGCUCAAAAUCUAUCAUUAUCACUCUACCGGAGUCACCUCUGUGACCCGUCCGGCCUUCUGCACACAAGUUACGCUCUAGUGCUUCUCAUAAAUCAUCUGUGCACAUAAUCUAAGGUCACCCACCAGUCGGAAUCUCACUAACACUCUCGCGACUGGUCUGUCGUACCCACUCCGCGUGGACUGUACGACUAGCAUCUACUUGGAUCCAAGGCGAGCGUGCGAUGCGGUGAAUACUAUAAGCACUAAACCAUGGUGCAGGAUUUGAGCUCAAUAUAUAUAUCAUCAUCAUCAUAACAGUAAUUAAAUACUCAUCUGUGCGUCCACCGCACCAUUUCAUACAUAUGCAUCAUAAAUCAAUUCUUACCUGUGCGUCCACCGCACCAAUUCAUACAUAUGCAUCAUAAAUCAAUUCUUACAUGUGCGUCCACCGCACCAAUUCAUACAUAUGCAUCAUAUAUUAAUUCAUGCAUGGCAUUUCAACUCACAUUUCUAUAUACUUUUCAUAUCAAUUCUAUGCAUGGUAUUUCACUUCCCGUUUUUCCACAUAACUCAUAUGCAUUUCAUUUUAAACAUAAUUUCAUGCAUUUUCAAUUUCUGGGAAAACGUUAAGUAUAUAUAUAUAUACGGAAAACAAAACUGCCCACUCACCUGGAGUUCGUCCAACAACUCCCUAGCACCACACAUCAAGGCGUCAUGACGAUCGCCGCCUAGAAUAGUAAUCAAAUCCAGGCUCAGAAUUCAUAUCGAUAGAAUAUAUAACUUAUAUAAAAUACGUCACUACGUUGAUCGAUCCGGAAGAUCUGCCACUCAGAUUUUAAAUCCAUAACUUCCAGAGGUCCACAUUAUACCUCUAGGACAACAUCCUAAAAUUUCAUUACCAUCCAACGGUCGGAUCUCCGUCAAUUUCCAAAACUAAGUGACGGUUAACAUUUUAUAUUAUGGACUUACAAUUCCAAUUCCGGAAGAUCCGUAACUCGGAUUCCCAAUCCGUAAGUUCCAAUAAUCCUCAAAUAUUACGUAUUAUAACGUAUCAAAGUUUGGUGACGAUCCAACGGUCGGAUCAUCAAUUCACAUUUUCACCUAAAUGUGAAAAUUAUAAAACGUUAUUUGAACACCUAACCAACAAUCUUCAAUAACUUUCUCAUACGGUGUUCAAUUUAGGUAUAUGAAUAUACCACAGUGAUCUACUCGACGUCACGGACGUCGACAUAUUUUUAAAAUAAUUUUAUUUUUAUUUUUUAUUUUUACUGUAGCACCUUCUUCUUCCUUGGGUCGCCGGACUGGUUUUUCCGGCGGCCGUUUUCUGAACAGUUUUUCAAAUUGCCAUAACUUUGUCAUUUCUCAACGAAAUCAAGUGAUUCAAAAACGAAAGUUGUAGCCCUUGAAGAGACAAAGAGAAUGGUACCUUGCAAAACACCUAGUUCGCCGUGGUUUGGCCGGAAACUGCCUCGAAAGCCUCGGAGGUCGCCGGAAACUGGGUAUUUUUCAAAUGAGUAUAACUUCUUCAAUACUCAACGAAAUUGAGUGAAACAAAAAGGAAAGUUGUAGUACUUGACGAGACGAAGAGAUUGAUACCUACCUCGACUCCUAACUCGCCGGGGAUUCGCCGGAAAAAUCCUCGAAAGCUCCGGCCAAACUUUGAACUUGUCGAUCUCCGUGUUCUUACGUCCAAAAACUUCCAACGAAGCACUCCGAGCUUCCUUGGGACCUCACUAAGCUCACUAUGAGCUUGGAUUGUCCUAAAAAUCAACCAAUUCAAAGCUCAUGAACAGUACACUUUCAUGGGGAGUUUAGAAUCUAGGUUUUCCAAAGUAAAACUUACCUGAAAUGGAUACCAACGUGAUCGUGAAGUCCUCAGGAUUCCAAUGGUGGUCUCAAACUUGACGUUGGUUUAGAUUUAGGGUGGUUUUGGUGGUGGUCCGUGUAAGUUCGAAGGAGAGAGACAGAGAGAGUGAGAAAACGUGAAGGAGGAGAGAGAAAGACAGUGAACGGGAAAUGAGGAGGGUUUUGAGGGAUGUGGGGAUCCCACGUGGUCCUUAUUCCAAUCUCCAAACACCAAACUUUAACAUUUUAACCUAAAAAUCUAAGUUCCAUCCUUAUUAAAUUCCAUUUUAUUUUCAAAUUUAGGAACCUAGAUAAUUAGCAACCUGAGCUUCACAAAUUUAGUAUUUCUUAAGGGCAAUUUCGUCCAUUCACAGCCACGAAUAUAAUAAUUUGGAACGGGCUGUGACAAUCUUCCCUCCUUAUAGAAUUUCGUCCCCGAAAUUCCAGCAACCAACCAAUUCAUCAACACUUAUACCAACCUCGGUAAGUUUUUUUUUCAUCCGAUUCUUUUUCUCCCACGUAAUUUUCUUCCACUGAAUGAUUCCUUCACAAAACUUUUACCAUUUACUCUAUCUUAACUCUCAGGACCUUCUUUUUCCAAUCCAAAUUCUACUUUUCUAAGGUGAACACUUCUAAAAUAUAAAACCAUUUACCUUAUAUACUCGAUUAGUGACAUAUCCAUCUGUUGAUGUCUUUUGUCAUUCCUGGUUACUUUUAGGUUAACUUAAUCACCUGAAUACUUUGAGGAGACUCAUCCAUAGUCUCAGGGUCUACUAAAACUCUUUCUCGAUCGAAUCUUUCUCUACCCAGAAAUAUUCCAUUCACAAGUCAACAAAAUACACACAUGACACACUUCAUGAACCUUAUGGCUUCACUUCGGAAACUGCGCAACCAACAUACUUAAGAAAACUUAGCAGUUCCGUAAUCCAAUUCUCUUUCCAUUUCCGUUUCGAAACAGAAAAAUAGCUGUCUCAAUCCAAAGGUUUAUUUCUUUCUGCCUCAAUCUGCUGACCAAUAAAAAUGUCGAAUGGUAUGAUAAACCUUAUUACUUUCGGAAUAUUGCAGAAGUUGAACAGUGAACUUCGUCCAAUAUUUGCUUGCUUCAAAUCCUCAGCAUUAGGCACAUACUUUUUGUUUUCUUGUAUCCACAUACCAUUUGAGUCUCGAGUACGACCUUACCAAAAGGCCUAACUUAACUUGAAACUUAGCAAGUAUAACUUCUUCUCGAUCUUUCAUUCUUAACUUUACUUUAGUUGAUUUCCAAUCCACAAGAAGAUAAUCUUGGCAAGCGUACUAGAUAUUAAUUCUUACUGCAGUCUUCUUAUCAAGUGCUUCAGCUAGAACAAACUUUACGAUCACCCUGAUCGUACAAUCAUGUUCAUUAAGCAAUACAAUUCACUUUCGCUGCCUCAUAUCAAAAUCCUUCCAAGUAAUGGAUAUUGAAGACUCUUUUGAUUUGUAAAAUCUUGCAUUCUCACUAAAAUAUAAUGUCUCCAUAACUUCACAGCAAGGAUGGUAAUCGUGACUUCCAAAUCACUAGUAGGGUAAUUCAUCUCAUGAGAUUCCAUUUGUCGUGAAACGUAUGCAAUCACCCUAACAUUUGCAUUAGUACAUAUCCAAGAACAUUUAAUGUAACAUCACCAUAUACCGAUAAUUAUCGCUAUCUUCUGGGAAUAUUAAAAUACGUGCAUGAGUGAGGAAAUACUUCAGUUGUUGAAUCCUUUGCUUACAAUUCCUUCCCACUCAUACAUAACCUCUUUUCUCAUCAGUCUCGUUAAUGACAAAGCAAUGACUAAAAAUUCUUUCACAACCAUCCAACAUAGCCUGGUAAGCUAAGAAAUUCCAAAUCUCAAUUACGACUCGUGGUUGUUCCAAAUUCUCAAUUUCUGCUAUCCUUUAAGGAUUCACUUGAAUACCUUAAGCAGACAUAACAAAUUUUAGAAUGCCACUUGAUCCAUUUAACUUUAGCUUUUGCUAAACUUAGCAUACAACUAACGUUCUCUCAAUCUUUGCUUCAUUGACUUAAUACGUUUACAUACUCUGCUCUGGCUCAGAAUAUGCCAAAAUAUCUUCAAUGGAAAUGAUAUCAAUUUAUCAAGGCAUUAUUGGAAUACUUCAUCCAAUAACUCAUAAAACAACAUGAGUAUCCAUAUAGCAUCACCAAACUUCAUAAAAACUAUAACAAGUCCAGAAAACCAUCUUAUGAUCAACGUCACUUAUAAUAUUCAAUUGGUAGUAACCAGAUCUCAAUUCAAUCUUUGAAUCUUCGCAAUUACUUUUGAGCUGGUUAAAUAAACAUCAGUACAUCACCAUGGAUAACGGUUCUCAAUCGUUACCCGACUCCAUUAUCUAUAAUCAAGGAAUAGUCUUUAAAGUCCAUUUUCUUUCUCACCAACAAACUGGUGCUCCUCAACAGUGUUGUACUAGGUUGAAUAAAACUUUUAUCAACCAAUUCUCUCAACUGAAUUUCCAAUUCCCUUAACUCAUCAUGAACCAAUCUUUAACAUAAAUUUAUACCUGGCAACAAAUCAAUAAUGAACCUCAUAUCUCUGCCUGAAGACAAUCCAGGUAUACUUUCAGAGAAGACAUCAAGAAAAGUCUAACCCUUUCGACAUUAUUCACACUACUCCAAACAACAUCAUUUAGCACCCACAUGAGCUAAGUAUUUUGACAGCCUUUCAAAACAAUCUCUUUGCUUUCACAGCAUAAAUAAUGGCUGAACUCACUUCACUUUGCAUACUUACAAAAGUAAUCUCUGGUCAUCCAGAUCGAUGGAAAGUGACUGGUUUCCCGUAACAAUCCAUUUAGUCACAAUUAUAACCAACCACUCUAAUGGAAAUAAUUUAACCGACACAAUACAUACUUUAUUAAUACUGAACAUUCUAAAUAAGUACAACAUUAACAUAAAAUAACCUACCGGUUUGCUUGCUUAACGAAUCCACGAAUGAGUUAUUAAUAUUACGGUCUGCAGCCCGCAAUACUGAUAAAUCAUCGUUGUCUCGAUAAGUAGGCAACCACUCACAAAGAUAUAACAUUACUAUUUUGUCACUCAAUGCAAAAUACAUACACUCGUCUCAACUACAUUUAUUUACCACUCUCUAGGUAAUAUCAUACAUAAUAAGAAAUAUAUCAGCCGAAGUCAACUAGAAUGACCAAUACGGUUGAUUCAACUCUUAUCUCAAUAAUACGUCGGCCGGAUCCACUCCGCGUGGUUGGCACGGCCGAGCCUAUAACUCACCAAUUUCUCAUGUGUCAGUCAAAUCCAUUUCUCAUGGUCCGUACGGCUGAACAUAUAACUCAUCAAAUAUCUCUGUACUCACGGUCAAUCCGACCAAACUACUAAAUCCAUAACUCUGCUGAAUCGACACUAUGAUUUCAUGGAAAAUUGUUGAGUACAACUGAUUCUAGGGACGAUUCACAACUCUGUGUCCCUUCUGUUCACAUAAACACAUUCAUUAAUUUCACAUUUCCCAAAGUGUUAAUUUUGUACCUGCUGCACAAAGUACAUUUCCUUUACUCGAGACACCUUGUCUCAAAUAUCUGGGAUUACCAGUAUAUCCAUCACUUUUACUCUGACCAGCGACAUUAAAACCUCAGCUGGAAGAAUUAACUCUAGCUUCACUUCUUUCGAAGCUCUGAAUCCUUCAAUAUUCUUGAUAUGACGAAUCAUUAACUUUAUUGUCUUCUUUUAAUUCCCAUUCUUUUCUUAUUCUUCUUUAUUCUCGUUGCUCAUGUUCUCAGAGUCCUCAAGGCUCAACAACAUCUAGCAUAACUCCUGAUAAGAACUACAAUGGAUAGUGGUCACCCAAAAUACCACUUCCCUUUUUGCCACCCAGCUUAAAACAACAUAACACCUCCACCAAAUUAACAACAAUAUCUGGAUGGAACGAGGCAAUUCUGAAAACUUUCUAUUAAUAUCCCUCGAUCAUAUCACCUUCCUUGUCUCAUAUUUGUAAAACUCUUGUUUAACUACCAUCAAUAAAUGCCGGAGGGAUAAACUUUUCCUUAAAAAAUUUUAAAAUCGGCUGAUUUCCUCUGGUGACAACAAUUAACAUUCCUGUUUCCACCAGGAUGCAAAUUCAUACCCAAAACCAGGUAGUUGUCUCGACCCACCUGUCAGAAGGAAAUUUCCUUUGACUUACAUAAUCUGAAACAUCUUUUCCAAUUGGUUAAACCGUCACUCCGCUCCCUCAGGUUCAUCAUUUCAUAAGGUGAUUCAAAAUUCAACUCAUAACCCGUCUUAAAAUGUCCAUUUUGAUAAUAUACUGAAUCAACCAUAAUAAUAGUUUCCCCCCAAAACCGCUAAAUCAGGGAGACUAAAUUCCUCUAACUACGUGGUUUGCUACGAGGCGGUGUAGUUCUGACAGAAUUCACUAUAAACUUCUCAAGAUGUCCAAGAUUGCAACCAUGCUCUGAUACCAACUGACACACCCCGUCCCGAAGGAGGGCAUGCUGGCCGUCACGUGAGAGUGACGUAACCAUUUGCACAGUACGGAAGCUUUAAUUAUACAAUUUAUAAGUUGAUACACCCGAAGGUGAGUCCUAAUUUUGUCCAAUCUGUCAGAACACCGUCGAAUUCCUCGUAGUCACCACACCUUUGUGAUUCCUGAACCUGGAGGGGCGCAAAACCAAAAUUGAGUGGGUCAGUAAAACAAUUCUUUUCCAAAUCCAAACAUUUCUCAAAACGUUGUAACCCCUCUCCGUAAAACCUGUAUACUUUCCCAGAAAUGUAAAAUAUAAAUAUACAUAUAUAUUCUCAAGACUUCAAGUCGUUAACUCAACAUUUUCAUAACAAUUAUGCCAUGCCACAUCAUCUCAACAUUUCUCAUAUUAAUUAUGCCAUGCCACAUCAUCUCAACAGUAAUAAGGUAUGAAUGCAUCAACAUAAUCAUAUCAGGUGCAAGAAAGUAAUCAACCGUAGGCCCUCUAAUAGCCCUAUACGGUUGAACCUAGAGCUCAAAAUCUAUCAUUAUCACUCUACCGGAGUCACCUCUGUGACCCGUCCGGCCUUCUGCACACAAGUUACGCUCUAGUGCUUCUCAUAAAUCAUCUGUGCACAUAAUCUAAGGUCACCCACCAGUCGGAAUCUCACUAACACUCUCGCGACUGGUCUGUCGUACCCACUCCGCGUGGACUGUACGACUAGCAUCUACUUGGAUCCAAGGCGAGCGUGCGAUGCGGUGAAUACUAUAAGCACUAAACCAUGGUGCAGGAUUUUGAGCUCAAUAUAUAUCAUCAUCAUCAUAACAGUAAUUAAAUACUCAUCUGUGCGUCCACCGCACCAUUUCAUACAUAUGCAUCAUAAAUCAAUUCUUACCUGUGCGUCCACCGCACCAAUUCAUACAUAUGCAUCAUAAAUCAAUUCUUACAUGUGCGUCCACCGCACCAAUUCAUACAUAUGCAUCAUAUAUUAAUUCAUGCAUGGCAUUUCAACUCACAUUUCUAUAUACUUUUCAUAUCAAUUCUAUGCAUGGUAUUUCACUU